rnacentral:rRNA from 1 species
CACGUAGUUAGCCGGAGCUUUCUCCUUGGCUACCGUCAUUAUCUUCACCAAGAACAGAGCUUUACAAUCCGAAGACCUUCUUCACUCACGCGGCGUUGCUGCAUCAGGGUUUCCCCCAUUGUGCAAUAUCCCCCACUGCUGCCUCCCGUAGGAGUCUGGGCCGUGUCUCAGUCCCAAUGUGGCCGUUCAACCUCUCAGUCCGGCUACCGAUCGUCGCUUUGGUGGGCCGUUACCCCGCAACUGGCUAAUCGGACGCGAGUCCAUCUUUCAGCGGAUUGCUCCUUUGAUCCACUCACCAUGCGAUGCUUGGAUAUCAUGCGGUAUUAGCAUCCUUUUCAGGAUGUUAUCCCCCUCUGAAAGGCAGGUUACUCACGCGUUACUCACCCGUCCGCCACUAGGCUCAGAAAGCAAGCUUUCCUCGCCCCGUUCGACUUGCAUGUGUUAGGCACGCCGCCAGCGUUCGUCCUGAGCCAGGAUCAAACUCU